AGAGCGAGCUACGCUGCAGGAGCGCAGUUACCAGCCGGCUGCGAUCACGUGCCUGGGAGGAGGAGCUGAGACCUCAGGGGAGGGGCGCGCGGUAGCGUCCCGGGUCCCCUAGCAGGGCUCUAGAGACCACGUGAAGUCUCCUCGGAGCUGGUGUAGUGAAGGAUGAAGAGAAGGCAAUGCAUUGGUUUAGACAAGCCUCCCAGCAGGACCAUCCUGGUGCUGCCUUUAACCUUGCAGUAGGAACACUGAAAAACAUGACUGCCUCCAUGGAAGCAGGGGAUGUAGAAAUGCUCCUUAAUGUUGCUGCAAAAUGGGGGAUCCAAGAAGCCCAAGAACUUCUGGAGAAUGUUAUUUGGACUAAAAGCAAGCUCUUGCCAACUGAAAGAACCAGGAGUUCUUAUAAACCAUAAUGUGUGCCUGCAUGCUCUUCCUGGAACAUGGGAUGUUCUGCUCUC
rnacentral:lncRNA from 1 species